AGAUAUGCUGAACUGAAAAUACUGCAGCAAUGUGGACAUUUUACAUUUUAAAGUCCAAGCUGAUCAGCAUAAUUGUUGCUAUACUUUCUAUAUGCUUCAAAUAUACAGUAUCUGCAUUUUACGUAUCUUCUAGGGUUCAUUGUAUUUAUCUUAAUACUUUAACCUUUGUAAUUUAAAUCUAUCUAACUUUAUGCAUUCUGCAGCUGUUUCUACAGGAUUAAAUUUCCUUUCUAGAAUGUUGAAUCUUUUAUGCUGUUCUAUAAUUGUAGUGUUUUAUUAAUGGCAUUAUAAGCAACAUAUAAGUUUGCUAUACUGGCAUUUUCUAGCAGCCAUUUGAAUUAAUGCAGAUUCUGUUACCAUAAUAUUUUAUAAAAGGAACACAAAUAACUGUUCCAAGUGAAACAGAAGCAGAGAACUCCACGAUCACACAAUUUUCUCAGAUUUAUUGCCUGUGAGUCUCUGUGUAGAUCUGAGAAAUUUCACAAAUUGGAAAUGGCUUCACCACAUUGUCUUGUGUAUUUAUAAGGGCUUCCCAAUUACCAACAUUCUUUUUCAAAGACUUUUAGAUAUAGUCAGCUCUUAUUUAUUACAUGCUUUCUUUUUAAAACACAUUUUUCAUGGAAUAUGUAUCAGUUUGCCUUACUCAGUGUUAAGAUUCAUUUUGCUAGAUGUCAGUAUGAUUACCCAGUAGAUAAACAGUUUUGUGAAUCAAAGCCCCAUUUUGCUCAGACUGAGCUAAGUGAAGCUGGUGUUCAGGAACAGGAAGAGAAGAAAUCAAAAUACUGCACAGUACGAUGGUUACGUUAUAAAAAUUCUGCUGAAAUGGAAAACAGAGGAGACAAUAAAAGGAACUUUGGAUAUACAGACCUCAUCUUCCUAAAUAGAAAAGCUGGCCUACUUAUAUCAGCUGCAUGGAAAUGAUUACAGAAUUUUUCACUGCCAUAUUGCUCUUCUAGCAAUAAAGGUUUUUCAUUACCCAAAUGCACAGAUGAUGUUACCUAGUUUGUGUAAUAAAAUGUCUGCAAGAAAAAAACAAUCAAAGAUUACCAAGGGACCCACAUUUCAACUCUGAGCUACAAAUAUUCUCCUUUAUUUACUAUCUUUGUAUUUCUUAUUCUUUGAUGAUCAUGAACUUGAUCAAGAGAUUACCAAGAUGGGACAGACUACAAUUAUUGAUAAAUAUAUACAUAAAGAUAAAUAAAAACCAUUUGGUGCUAAUUAAAGUUUCUGGAUUGUCUUCAAGAACAAGCAAUGCCUUGCAAUAAUCUAUACCAAAAAAUUAAUGGAUCACGGAUUAUAUGGCUAACUAUCUAGACCACAAUAGGCAUACAGCACAAACUGGGGAAAGGUUUCUGUCCUGCAUAGUAUUUUUGUGUUGCUAAUCAUAAAUUUAAAAGCCCUCUAAAUGUUGAAUUUGAUCCUUAGAGGGGAUUAUUUCCACUCCUUUGCCUGGAUCUGAUCAAACGGAGAAAUGCAUUAUUAAAUCUAAAUGUCUAAAUAAAUGAUCUCGCACUUGAUGGUUUCAGGUUUUUAUCAUUGGAGAUAAAAUGGAACUUUGUAGUAGGUUUUCUUGUAAAUGCCAUAAAGUCAAGCAGAAACCCCCUGGAGGCAGUUCUGGAAAUUGUGAUCUACAUAUGAACAGACUUACUGCAAAUCAUAGGUAACGUAGAUAAUAUUUCCCAAAAAAGAGGCAGUCGCUGGAAGCCCUGAAAACUGCUGAAGGAUCCAGAACACCACUGGGCUUCUAGUCUCUCUCCUCCAACAAAAAUCUUCUCACAGGGCAAUUACACCCCUGGUUUUGGCAUAUUCACAACCAAAACUAGGCCUAAAGCUAAAUUGAAAUGGAGCUACAGAAUUUGUUUUAUUCAGCCACCACUCAUUGAGAACUUCACUUAUAGCUGUUCAUUUUCACUGUUUCAUCUGGGUCCAUUUAUUUUUCCUUUCCAGGAACGAUCUCACCAAGGGCUCUUUUAAUGAGGCUGGACCCCCUUCUUGGACUGAGCUGAGCUAUAAUGAGCCAUAGAGGCAAAAUAAUUGACCAAAUUCUACUAAGCUCUUUUUCGUGAUCUGUGGGACAUAAGAACUGAAAGUAAUCAAAAGAAUAUAACCCGAUACUGCCCUGGACACCUCUGCUUACAGUCUCCUUACUGCUAAGAAAUAGAUAUAUAUCUUUUUAUUUGGUAGGGAACAAAAAUGGAUAAAUAGUGAUGGAUGACAAUUAAUUCAGCUCUCAUUAUAAAUACAAGCUUUUGCCAUUUGUAUUUUUGAAUAUAAAUGGACUAAAUCACAUUCAUAAACUAAUUUCUACCCAUUUCAGGACUUGAAAAGUUCUUAAUAAAACACUGCACAUAAAAUUCAUAUAUUGGGGAAAUUAUAGAUUAAAGCACCUUAGAGAAAAUUGCUUGCAUCAAAUCUGCGUAUUAGAAAAAGCACAUAUAAUGGAACUUUAGGCCUGUACACGUAAUUGAAUACUGUAACAACGUGCAUCCUGGAAAAAUUGCACAAUGUAUGUUGAUUUUUUUUAUUUAAAAAUUAUGCUGAUAUAAAAAGGAUAAAAUGUGAGAACCUGAGUGAAAGUAAAUCUGACAGAUUUGCUUUUCUUUAGACCAUAUUGUCACAUAAAAUGGGUAAAUUUGACUCUGUCAAGAUAUAGGUAACUAGUUUAAUAGGCCAUUAGUACAAAGGGAUAUAUGUUACUCCCAAAUGUCCCUUAAAUCUGAAUUUAUAUCAUUUGCAUCAAUUUACAUAAUUUGUGUGAUGACAAAAUUAUGCAAAUGGUAUAAUUUACAUUAAUUGUCUGCCAUUCAGAUGCAAUGGCGUGUCCAUUAUUUUGGGGUGAUGUCUGGAGGAGAAUUUUGUUUGCUAUUUUUAAAGUCCACUAAAUCAGAGUGUAUUUGAUUGAAAGUUUGUUGUAUACUGAAUGUGGAUUUGAGGGAGUCUUUGUAUUAAAUUAUUCAAAUCAACACUCUACCAAACUGCUCACAACAAACUAUAAACUUCCAUCUAGGUCUAGAAUCAAACCUGGAUAAAUACUUGAAAUCCUCAGGGCCAAUAUCAGAGAUGGCAUCAUUAGAUGGCUGUUAAAGACCAUAUCUCAACUGAUUCCACUCUACGGUUUUCCAGUAGUUUUCCUUGACAUUUCUGACUAUUCUGCCUCCUUUUAUUGUAUGCAUACUAGUAGUGGAAAAGGAAAGGAAGAGCAGCCUCUUCAGCUGAGACAUAUGUAAUGAGCUAUUAAUGCAUCUUCUAACCCCAUUUCCAUGGGUGAAAUAAACAAACAUAUGUUCAACUUGUCCAGCUAGAUUCAGGGCCCCAAGGUUACUCUCACUGUUACAUAGUUUGUCUUUGCAGGUUGUAAAACUCACACAUUGAUAGUAACAAAAUAGUGCAUUUUUUAAUCUUGUAUGCCUUGUUUGAUUUUAUAUGUUCUAUUUUGUAGCUGUAUCCUAUAGGUUUUAUUUGGUAAGUCUUAUUUAGUCUGAAUUGCUGCCUGUAGUAAAGAAUUUGAUUGACUAAAUAAUAAUCUCUCUUUCUUUCUCUUCUUCUGGUCAAUGUUGUGAAGGCAAGUAGAAGAAUAGUGUGGCCAUGAAAAGAAAGUGGCUGUACUCAAGGAAGUGAGGUGCCUCCUUGAAGAAAGAAAGCUGUCAAGAAGGUUUGUGGGUACAGUAUGUUUCUCCAAUCUGUAAUGAUGUCAGUAGCAUUCGUGGUCCAUAAAGACUCUAGCACCCCUGAUACUGAGUGAUGGGGGCUGAGGCAAUUAACUUUUUAUUUUUCCAGGCAUUGCAUGUCUGAGAACAAAUUAUAAUGCAGCAGCUUACUCGUUAUUACCAGCAAUAUUGGUGCAGUAUAUUUAUUGUCUCUUGUUUUCUUGGAUCAUUCUGUUAAUUAUUCUGUAAAUAUUUGUAGUAAAGGGCAUAUAGAAAUCUAUGAAAUAUAAGCAGACAAAUAUAUACAAAAAAUUAUAGUUCUUUAUAAAUAUAUUAGAGAAUAAUCCCUCCUGGCCCCUGAAUUAUCCCUGAAUUCCCCCAAAUAUACAUAUUGAUUGACUGAUUAUGUGCCACCAAAUCUUUCAAUUCCUAGUGACCACAUAGAUAGAUCUUCUCCAUGAAAAUCUGCUUCUAACUUGGUCUUUCAGGUCUUUUGAUGGUGCACACAUCACCACUAUAACAGUCCAUCCACCUUGCUGUUGAUCGUCCUCUUCUCCUUUUUUUCCUCACCUUUCUCAGCCAAAAAUCAGAGACCUAGAUCUUUGCAUAACAGAUCCAAAGGAGGAUAAUUUGAGCCUGGUCAUUUGUGCCUCAAGUAAGAACUCUGGGUUAAAUAUGUGUAGGACUUUGCUUUAAACUAUGUAUGCCAAUUUCAUUCCAACUGAUGUAGACCACACUAGAAGGUUCAAAAAGAUUUCCUGAACUGUUCUGUUCUGUUCCUGUUCUGAAAUGCUCUCUAAUGGGAAAUAUGACCAUAUCAACUCCCACCCAUUUUAGCUCAAUGAUUCUGUAAAUAUGUUUGAGCUACACGCCAUUUAGACUUAAUUAGCCUGGCUGGUAUGAUCACUCUUCCAGAUUUUACUUGAAAGGGUUUUUAGAAAGAUCCUAUAUUACCGAUUUAAUGUUUGACAUUUAUUUUUAAUCAUCCUGAAUUACUUCAGUGGCUUUUGCAGUCUCUUUAAUUAAUGGGAGAGAUUCCACAACUUGAAGCUUCCUAGAAAUAACUCCCAUUGACCUCUGUGGGACUUACUCCCAGAUGAGCAUUUAUCAUUUUAUAGUGUAACUUUCCUAUUGAAAUUGUCGAGAUGUAAAAAAAAAAAAAACCACAUUGGCUGUAUUGUAUGAAAUAAUUAAUAAAUAAAUAGGAUAGAGGAAGGGGGAAGAAAAUGAAUUAAUUAAUAAAUAGUGAGAACUGUUCUCUGUUGAAAAAAUAAAAGUAGGGUUUUCUUUAACAAAACUAGAAAGAACUGUUUAUUUUUGUUGUUAGGUUAAGUAACAAAAAUGUAAUGAGUGAUUCACCUCCCAUUACUACACCUGCUUGUACAGUUUAAAUUAAAACCCAAACAUUGCAAAUCCUACUUCACAAUGCCUUUCAGUGUUUGAGACUCUGCUUUAAAGGACCUCAUUGUUUAGGAGGAUUAGCUCACUGCUUUUACUGGCUUCAAAGAAAUGAGAAUCUUCACUCACUUUUUCUAUUGAUCCCUGUUGAUCAGAUUAACUAUGUUUUGGGUUCCUAUUGAAAAGCAGAGACAAACAGAAGCAUUUCUUAAACACUUGUGCAGAGGUUUGCUCAAGUCAGGAUUCCUUUGUACCUAUUAGAAAUGUGAAAAGACAAUUACUAAGAAGUCAAAACAAAAUAAAAGAAAUUGCAGUAAAUUCCAUUAAUUAAA